rnacentral:tRNA from 1 species
GAGGGUAUAGCUCAGCAGUAGAGUAUGUGCUUAGGCAUGCAUGAGGUCCUGGGUUCAAUCCCCAGUACCUCCA